ACUCAGUGUUCUUAUCGCCGAGACACUACCGUGUCUCCAGAUAGAUAAGUGACGAUUUCGGCUUGAGCGUGCAUUGUAAUGCAUUUAAUGUGAUAAAUCGAAGGAUUCUUUAUUUAUUUACGCAUUCGAGCAUCGUAUACCGUGGCCGCAGGAACGCCUCGCCAUUUAUUGAAAUAUAUCUUCCAAUAACACUGAUUUUCAAGAAACAUUAUUGGAUAAUGGUUCAGAAACUGACACUUUUAUUCGAAAAAAAUUAACAGAGUGGGGGCUUUUCAAUUAUAUUGAGAUAUUUGGACGUGAAAAAAUAGAUAAAUCAGUAUUUCUGUCUAUCCCUAAUGAGGCAGUUGCGAAGUUAAUCCAGCCUAUGGAACAUUAUUACAGAUUUAUUUUUCAAAAACAGAAAUA